UAUUGGUCCAAAGGUAGCAAGUUGCCUCAAUCGAUUCUUCACAGUCAGUUACAGAUCCAACUCCUUCCCCCUUCUCACUACUGCACUUGACUAGUCUUCA
rnacentral:Y_RNA from 1 species